CUACGGGAGGCAGCAGUGGGGAAUAUUGGUCAAUGGGCGCAAGCCUGAACCAGCCAUGCCGCGUGAAGGAUGACUGCCCUAAGGGUUGUAAACUUCUUUUGUACGGGGGUAAUUUUCGGUCUGCGGACUGAAUUGAAAGCACUGUAUGAAUAAGCGUCGGCUAACUACGUGCCAGCAGCCGCGGUAACACGUAGGACGCAAGCGUUAUCCGGAUUUAUUGGGUUUAAAGGGUGCGUAGGCGGACCCAUAAGUCAGUGGUGAAAUACUGUCGCUCAACGAUAGCAUUGCCAUUGAUACUGUGGGUCUUGAGUACAGUUGAGGUAGGCGGAAUGUGUAGUGUAGCGGUGAAAUGCUUAGAUAUUACACAGAACACCGAUUGCGAAGGCAGCUUACUAAGCUGAAACUGACGCUGAGGCACGAAAGCGUGGGGAUCAAACAGGAUUAGAUACCCUGGUAGG
rnacentral:rRNA from 1 species